rnacentral:rRNA from 1 species
CCUACGGGUGACAGCAGUGAGGAAUAUUGGUCAAUGGGCGCGAGCCUGAACCAGCCAAGUAGCGUGAAGGAUGAAUGCCCUACGGGUUGUAAACUUCUUUUAUAAAGGAAUAAAGUGAGGCACGUGCACCUUUUUGUAUGUACUUUAUGAAUAAGGAUAGGCUAACUCCGUGCCAGCAGCCGCGGUAAUACGGAGGAUCCGAGCGUUAUCCGGAGUUAUUGGGUUUAAAGGGAGCGUAGAUGGGUUGGUAAGUCAGUUGUGAAAGUUUGCGGCUCAACCGUAAAAUUGCAAUUGAUACUGGCAGCCUUGAGUACAGUUGAGGUAGGCGGAAUUCGUUGUGUAGCGGUGAAAUGCUUAGAUAUCACGAAGAACUCCGAUUGCGAAGGCAGCUUACUAAACUGCCACUGACAUUGAUGCUCGAAAGUGUGGGUAUCAAACAGGAUUAGAUACCCUUGUAGUC